rnacentral:rRNA from 1 species
UACGUAGGGUGCGAGCGUUAAUCGGAAUUACUGGGCGUAAAGCGUGCGCAGGCGGUUCGUUGUGUCGGCGGUGAAAGCCCCGGGCUCAACCUGGGAAUGGCCGUUGAAACUGGCGAACUGGAGUGUGGCAGAGGGGGGUGGAAUUCCGCGUGUAGCAGUGAAAUGCGUAGAGAUGCGGAGGAACACCAGUGGCGAAGGCGACCACCUGGACUGAUACUGACACUGAGGAGCGAAAGCCAGGGGAGCAAACGGG